GUGCUCACUUCGGCAGCACAUAUACUAAAAUUGGGAUGAUACAAAGAAGAUUAGCAUGGCCCCUGCACAAGGGAAGAAAAUGUUUUGAGAAUGAUGAUGGCAACAAAUGU